rnacentral:sRNA from 1 species
UUUAUUUCAUAUGUUGUCUCCCCUCCUUGACUGUCUUCAUGAAUCCGAAUAACCUCCCAGAUUAUGUCUAUUUAUUCAGCAUGUCCUCUUAAUCCUCUUACCUGCAGUAUAAAGCAACACCAAAAUAUAUAAAAUAAUAAAACUAUAGAGCAAAGUAAGGAAAUGGUUGCUGGAAAAAUCAGAAUGGUCAUCAUUUCUAAGUUGGAAAGAGAAUUGUGAUUUGGAAUGGACACAUGGUGACUACAGAGAUGCAGCUCUGUUCUGUUUCUUGGAAACAGGAGUGUUUGCUUUAUAAUUAUUUAUUAACUAUAGAUUUGUGUCUUUUGAGCUUUUCUGAAUAUAUGCUGUAUUUCACAAUAAAGAUGUUCAAAAAAUUAAAUGAAAACUCUGAUAUUUUAAAUGCAAGAAGUGAGGCAUAUCGGUUAACUUCUUUGUUUUUGUAGGCAGGUGUUAUUGCACUGUUUGUAUGAUUCAGACCCACCUACUCUGCUGGAAACAAGCAGAAAUUCAACCCACGUUUACCAUGUAGGUUGUUGCUUACUUGCCUUUCCCAGGCAGAAGUGGCCAGUGUUUGGGUUGAAAGGAUCCGGGAACAUCCAGCUAUUUAUGAUAGCAUUUGCUUCAUUAUGUCAAGUUCAACAAAUGUUGACUUGCUGGUGA